rnacentral:lncRNA from 1 species
AAAACUGGGGUUUUAAUGAACAUGACAGGUAUAUGGUGCCACGAACAGGGAAUUGGAGUCGGUUCAACUACAUGGAUAACCAGAAUGAGCAGCUAUGACAAGAUAGUGCAGAUCUAGCGAGACAUUCUAGUUCCCAAAGAGCAGCAGCAAAGGGGAAGUUCCGCAGUAACAAUGGAGAACCAGCUCAAAUUUCCUGACAGUCAAGUGCGCUGCACAAACACAUGGUAACUACAGCAGCAGCCUUUGUUCCAUGCCCAACAUUUUUGCUCUUGUACGCUCCAUGGUCCUCUUCUCUUAAUUGUGCACAAUAAACAUUUCCCUUUUUUUGUGGAGAUAUUUAUCCACAUCCAACUUCCAUUUUACAUUUUAGCUGAAAAUAUUUUGGUCCUUCCACUUACUCAUUGUAGUACAAAACACUAGCUCAACUUUAGAGUGGAACCAAUUUGUGGACAUCUUGAUGCGCAAUUCAUUUCAGCUACACAUUUUAUUUCCAUUCAACUAUAAUUUGUACAACAUCGAGAAUCAGUCCAGCCAUUCCCUUGCUUAUAUAUCUAUGUACAGCACAGCACCCAGCCAGCAUACCAGAAAAGGUAGGGUGGAAAUAGGCUACUCUUUCAGAAAUACCUGACCCAAAAAACAACAACAAAUUUUGAUGCAACACAAUAUGAUUAUUCUUAUUUCAGCGAUUGGUGCACCUUCUACUCGCUGUCACCCAUGUCCUUGUCUCCAACCAGAUAGAGCUUCUGCCCGUCAUUGACCAUGUCCACAUCCUGGACCGUCGCGCCAUCCUGACAGAGCAAGCGCAUGCAUGAGCUGGACAAACCCAGCUUCUCCUGGGCUGACCCGAUGAGUUCAUUGAUAGUGUGAGGAAUCCACAACAUCACCCCCUCCUUUCGCUUGGCAUCAGUAUCCCAUGGAUGGUAAGGGAACACGGAGCAUCGUCGUGUAUGCAUCUUAUCU